AAAGAUAUUUUAAUUUUUUAUAAAAUAUAACCAAAAUUUAAAACAACACCCUAAGCCUGGGCUCCGUGUAGUUUAACUUUUUUAACGCAGUAGUUGCUUUUUUCUUUUUCUUUUCUUUAAAAAGUUUUUUAAAAAACAAAUUGACCGUUGUGUUAUGCUUGUCGGCGUCCUUUUAACGCAGUCUGAAUUUCUUUAUCUCCCCUUUAAAAGCAAACUGACCGUGCGAUUAGAUUAAAACCCCACAAAAGUUUUCCAAUUCUCCUCUUCAGACCACCUUCUUCCUUUCUUUCGUCUUUCUUUUACUUUCAAAAAGUUUUCAACGUUCUUUGUUUUCAGAUCUGGCCUUGCCCAGAGAGAAGGAGAGAGAUACAAGCACAAAAGAGAGAGAGAAAAAGGGGAAAAAGACAGAAACGAGGUCUGAAACCCCUCCAUUCUCUUCAAUGUGGAGAGGGAAAGAAAAGAAUAUCAGAAAGAGGUAAGGAAGAAGAUGGUAGAAAACAAAUUAGAAUGGUAAUCUUUCUAGCAUUCUAUUUCUUUUUCAGUUUCUUGAGAGCAAAGAAUCAAAUAGAGAAAGAAAAGAAGAACAAAGAAAGAAGGAAAAAAAAAGAAGAUCGAAAAGAAGAUAGAUAGGUUUCUCUUAAAGACCCAACACUGCCUAGUCAUUCUGUUAAAUUUCAAUCUCUCUUGUUCUCACAAGCCUUGCCCAGAGAGAAGUUGAGAAGUACGAGCAUAGCAGAGAGAGAAUAAGGGGAAAAAAAAGAAGAUCGAAAAGAAGAUAUAUGGGUUUCUCUUAAAGACCCAACACUACUUAGUCAUUCUGUUAAAUUUCAAUCUCUCUUGUUCACAAGCCUUGCCCAGAGAGAAGGUGAGAAGUACGAGCAUAGCAGAGAGAGAAAAAGGGGAAAAAGACAGAAACGAGCAGACAUGGAUCUGCAAUAGUUGCUUUUUUCUUUCUUUUUCUUUUCUUUAAAAAGUUUUUUAAAAAACAAAUUGACCGUUGUGUUAUGCUUGUCGGCGUGCGCAGUCUGAAUUUCUUUAUUUUCCCUUUAAAAGCAAACUGACCGUGCGAUUAGAUUAAAACCCCACAAAAGUUUUCCAAUUCUCCUCUUCAGACCACCUUCUGCCUCUCUUUUACUUCCAAAAAGUUUUCGACGUUCUUUGUUUCCAGAUCUGGCCUUGCCCAGAGAGAAGGAGAGAGAUACAAGCACAAAAGAGAGAGAAAAAGGGGAAAAAGACAGAAACGACCAGACAUGGAUCUGAAACCCCUCCAUUCUCUUCAAUGUGGAGAGGGAAAGAAAAGAAUAUCAGAAAGAGGUAAGGAAGAAGAUGAUAGAAAACAAAUUAGAAUGGUCAUCUUUCUAGCAUUCUAUUUCUUUUUCAGUUUCUUGAGAGCAAAGAAUCAAAUAGAGAAAGAAAAGAAGAACAAAGAAAGAAGGAAAAAAGAAGAUCGAAAGGAAGAUAGAUAGGUUUCUCUUAAAGACCCAACACUGCCUAGUCAUUCUGUUAAAUUUCAAUCUAUCUUGUUCACAAGCCUUGCCCAGAGAGAAGGUGAGAAAUACAAACAUAAUUGAGAGAGAAAAAGGGGAAAAAGACAGAAACGAGCAGACAUGGAUCUGAAACUCUCCGUUCUCUUCAAGGGAGAUCGAAAAGAAGAUCGAUGGGUUUCUCUUCAAGACCCAACACUACUUAUUCAUUCUGUUAAAUUUCGAUCUCUCUUGUUCACAAGCCUUGCCCAGAGAGAAGGUGAGAAGUACGAGCAUAGCAGAGAGAGAAAAAGGGGAAAAAGACAGGAACGAGCAGACAUGGAUCUGAAACUCUCCAUUCUCUUCAAUGUGGAGAGGGAAAGAAAAGAAUAUCUGAAAGAGUUUACUGGGAGUAAAGAGCCAAAUAGAGAAGGAAAAGAAGAGCAAAGAAAGAGGGAAGAAGAAGAUCGAAAGAAGAGAUAUGUCUUUCUCUUCAAAGACCCAACGGUAGCCGGAGUAUGAUGAGAUGUUCCCUUCACUAUUCAGUGAUCUUCCUAAUAUAUUUCCUCCACACCUGUCGACAUGGGCUAGUGAACUUUGGCACUGAAAUAGCAUGAAAGGUAUGUCCGCAGACGGGAAGCUGAGAACUUGCUCAAUUCCAGUUGGUGGCUUUCUUUUGAAUCUAAUUCUAAAAGAUAAUACAUAGUUUGAAUACAAUAACAGUUAAAAGUAAUUUGUAAUUGAAAGAAAAGUUUGGUAAAUAAAAGUAUCAAGUAAAGAUAGUUUAUAAGAUAACAUCACUAGUAGAACAUGAAGAAGAGUUUGGAGCAUCGGAGUUAGGCAGUAGGUUAAUACACCUCGAAAUAAAUAUACUUAUUUGCUGCAUUAAGUGUGUGUAUUGGAUCCUAAUAGUUUAUGUAAUGUGGCUUGUGAACGUAUUGCAAAAAUGCUGCACUUGCACUGAAAAAACAAUUUUUUUUGGCACCCAAAAUAAAUCUACUGCAAGAUUAUAUCAAUGAAUUUUUCAACUACAUAAUUUAAUAAAAAAAAUGCGAAAUGUAGAUGGAGAGCUAAGUUUCCUUACUUCAUUAAAAAAUUAAUAGUUUUUAAAAUACAUAAAAUUCUGCGACUGAAAAAUUCUAACUUAAAGAUUUAUCACAUGUUAGCUUUACUUUAGAUUUAGAUUGGAUGAUUAUUUUAUUUUAAGAGUUUAAUUUUUACAAACUUAUAAUUUAGAGUUAUCGUUCAUUUUCUUAUUUUGAAGAUCUUAGAAACCUAAUAGCUUUUAAACCAAAACAAAAAUUUCAUUUAGCUCUUCAACUUUUUUAGCAAACAAGCAUUUCAAACACAAUAACGACAAACUACAACAAAUAAAUUACAACUAUCCUUACAAACUGACAAGGAAAAAGAGUAAACUUCAAGUAUCAACCCAAAAAUUGAAUAUUUCGUUUUUAACAUUUUCAUGAGUUGAAAUGAUUAUAAAUUAAAACAAUCUAGUAUUUUUCGUCAAUGAAUUUCUUUGUGUGUACAUUAAUGUAGCAAUACUUGAGGCUGUUUUUAAUGUCAUGCAGAGGACAACAAAAUUGUCCUCUUUUAAUGGUCGUUUUUAAUGUCCAUGUCAAGUUGUGCAUAUGUUAUAUUUAAUUGCUAUUGAUUCUCUUCUGAUUUGAAUUACAACAUAAAAGAGUCUUGAUCAUUUAUAAAUUGAUAUGCUUACUUUUGUGUAGUUGUUCUAGAUUUCAAAUGGUAAAAAUCAGGUAAAUAAACAUAUAUUCAAUAGUAUGUUUUUUCUUUAACUAGUUAAAAUUUUAUUUCUUUGUUAUUAUGAAGAUCUUGAGGUAAAAAGUUGAAAGGAAUCUAAUCAUAUAUUAUCUCUGUUUUGUUCUCUUUUCUGGGUAACAUUGCUGGAAAAAUGUCGGGUUAUGAUAUAUUUGUGAAAUAAAAGGUUUAUUUUUUAAUGCUUAUGACAUGAAUUUUAUUUUUUAUUACAUAUAUUUUUUAGUAUUUAGAAUUAUUUACUUAACGAUAUUCUUUUUGGUUACUUUAAUAUAGGACUACCGAAGGUUAUUAUCAAUCUUAGGAAUACUUUUAACGUAAAUAAUCAUGUGUUUUUAUCUUUUUGGGUAGCUAAUAUUUUUAUAUUUUGUUAGUGCGUAACUCUUUGUCAAAACGUUUAAGAUGGUCCAGGCGUGUCACUUGUGUUUUGUUUUCUUUUGUUCGUAGCGCUCUUUUAGAUAUAGAUUAUGAGGAACCAGCGGAAUAAGAGGAUUUUGGAGCUAGACCAUACAAUGGUUUGGUACUAUGAGCUGCUGUGUUUUAGGAGCAAACCUGCGAAUACUGGCUCUCUUACGCUGGCAGGCUCUCAGUAUAGCCUACGGCGUGCUUUACGGUAUGUGAGCAACAAAAGAGGGAGAGUGUGUACGAAGAAGAGAACCAGGAAGGCAGAGGAAGAGAGUUCGUAUGAAAGUUUACCUCAUGAUUUUAUUAUCUGAUUAAUCAAUUAUUUUUAUUUUUUACUAACUAAUCAAACAAUAAUUUUUAAAUUAUGCUACCAUAACUUAGUUGAAGGAUG